rnacentral:rRNA from 1 species
CCUACGGGUGGCAGCAGUAAGGAAUCUUGCGCAAUGGGCGAAAGCCUGACGCAGCGACGCCGCGUGGGCGAUGAAGGCCUUCGGGUUGUAAAGCCCUUUUCUGGGGGACGAGGAAGGACGGUACCCCAGGAAUAAGUCACGGCUAACUACGUGCCAGCAGCCGCGGUAAAACGUAGGUGGCAAGCGUUGUCCGAAGUCACUGGGCGUAAAGCGCGCGUAGGCGGGCCACUAAGUCGGAUGUGAAAUCUCCACGGCUCAACCGGGAAAGUGCAUCCGAUACUGGUGGUCUUGAGGCGUGGAGAGGGAAGUGGAAUUCCUGGUGUAGCGGUGAAAUGCGUAGAUAUCAGGAGGAACACCCGUGGCGAAGGCGGCUUCCGGGCCAUGGCCUGACGCUGAGGUGCGAAAGCCAGGGGAGCGAACGGGAUUAGAUACCCCUGUAGU